rfam:Pantoea stewartii subsp. stewartii DC283 WGS_Sequence15, whole genome shotgun sequence.
ACUGGUUGGUGGCGCAAUGUUUCCCGGUCGGGCGGCGUUGUCGUGCACACUUAGCGUAAACCUGUGCAGAUACCUGAGCCCGCCAACAAGCGGGCUUUUUUUU